GGGAGAACGCAGGCGGCGUGCUUAACACAUGCAAGUCAGGGGGCCGAGCAAUCGGUCACCGGCGAACGGGUGCGUAACACGUGAGCGACCUGCCUUGGUGUGGGGGAUAGCCGGCCCAACGGCCGGGUAAUACCGCAUACGGCUCCCGGGUGGUACCGGGCAGCGAAACCCGUGAGGGGCGCUGGGAGGGGCUCGCGGCCUAUCAGCUAGUUGGUGCGGUAACGGCGCACCAAGGCGAUGACGGGUAGCUGGUCUGAGAGGAUGGCCAGCCACAUUGGGACUGAGAAACGGCCCAGACUCCUACGGGAGGCAGCAGUGGGGAAUCUUGCGCAAUGGCCGAAAGGCUGACGCAGCGACGCCGCGUGGGGGAUGAAGGCCUUCGGGUUGUAAACCCCUGUUGCUCGGGACGAACAACACCUUUCGAGGUGUCUGACGGUACCGGGUGAGGAAGCACCGGCUAACUCUGUGCCAGCAGCCGCGGUAAUACAGAGGGUGCGAGCGUUGUCCGGAAUCACUGGGCGUAAAGGGCGCGUAGGCGGUCUGGUAAGCGUGUGGUGAAAGCUCGGGGCUCAACCCCGAGUCGGCCGUGCGAACUGCUGGACUGGAGCAUGUCAGAGGCAGGCGGAAUUCCGGGUGUAGCGGUGGAAUGCGUAGAGAUCCGGAAGAACACCGGUGGCGAAGGCGGCCUGCUGGGACAUGGCUGACGCUGAGGCGCGACAGCGUGGGGAGCAAACAGGAUUAGAUACCCUGGUAGUCCACGCCGUAAACGAUGGACAGUAGGUGCUUGGGGGAGCGGCCCCCUGAGUGCCGGCGCUAACGCAUUUAAAG
rnacentral:rRNA from 1 species